rnacentral:lncRNA from 1 species
GGUGGCUCUGCCCCUCAGCAGGCCGCUGGGCCUGCUCUGUGCGUGGUCACAGUUCCCUCUACCUUGCCGGUGCAGGGGGAGGGGGCGGCUCUGCCUCUCAGCAGGUCGCUGCUCCUCUACUCCUGUUUUAUUAUUUCACUCUCCAUGUGGGCUGCUAGGCCUAAUUCAAAUGAACUAUCUACUUUCCUUUAGCUUUAUGGAAUGCUUAAUAAGCUUACAGUGGUGGAGAAAAACAAAUUAAUGAUGAAACUAAAUAAAACAGAUGUUGAUCAUGAUACUAAAGUGUUUUUAUGUAUCAUAAUAAAUACUCAACAUUAUUCAGAAACAUUCAAUAUUAUCUGAUACUGACACUUCUCCUUUGAGCCAGCAAACUUUUAAAAGAUUAACUAAUUUCACUGGUGAUUUAACGUGGCCUUUGUUCACUCAGUAAUUUAUUGUUCUAAGAUUACUUUCUCCUCUGGGUUAAGCUGUUAACCCUAGGUAUGUGCUGAAGAACUGGAUGGCUGAAUCUGCAGUACAGAAAGCAGAAAGAAAUGAUUUUUCAGAGGUAAGAUGGUUGACUUCCCUGGUUUAUUUUUAUUAAUUUUAAAUGUGAUUAUAUUUUAAAUAUACUUAUUGUGUUUAUAAACAUUCUCAACCAUACCAUUACCAACACCAGCUUCCCACAUUUCACUCUGCCUGUUUUUUCUUGCUUAUCAGAGAAUCAUUUUCUCUUAUUUUCUACUUUAAUGUGUUCAUAUUUUAAUUAUUCAUUUUAAUUUAAAAAAUUCAUAUGUACAAUAUUUGAACUUCUGAGGGUCUGAUUCUGCUGUUUAUUGUUUUUGUUUGGACAUUUUUGAGUUUUAAUCUCUGAAAUGUAGUUGAGGGUGUGUCAUUUCAGAGGGCAUAGUUAACAUUUAACAUAAUUAGGUCCUAUCAGGUUAGAAUUAUCCUGUGCUUCUACCAUGGCACUGCCAACCUGAGUCCAUUUUAAAUUAAUCUUAGCAACAAUGAAGAUGAAUCAAUUAGAGCUACGCACAUCAGCAUGAAUGAAUCUCACAUAUAAUGUGAAACAUAACAAGCAGGAAGCAGAAUAUUUUUACAUUGUGUUACCAUUAUAUAUAGUAGAAAAACAUACAAAAACAUACUAGUAUCGUGCAAUAUGGCUUCAACCAUAUUGGAAGUAUUUGGUUUAUGAAACUGAAUAGAGGAUACACAGGUGCUUAUAUAUUAUUCUGUAUAGCGUCUCCACUUCAAAUCUUUCAUAAUUAAUUGUUUAAAGAUACAUUACACAUAGUAUAUUCUUUUAGACCAAAAAUAGCCCUGGGAUUCAUGUUGUCAAUGACCGGUCCUAAUCCUGGAGCAAAUAAUAUUGAUGGUCAUGGCCCUCUUUCUCUCUAAACUUAUCACAGCCUAAGAUGUACUCACAACAUGCUGUGUAGUCACUAUCAACUGAUCAGAGUUGGCAUGUAAAGGAAACUAUUUUUGCUAUUUCUAAUUCAGAACUUGAACUAACUUUUUAUUUCAGUAGUCUAACUAGCCUGACAAUUUUAGGUUUUCAUUUUGGAAAAUGGAAUAUUUUUAAAUGUAAUUUUUUAUGGCACUAAGGAAAACAAAGAGAAGGAAAUAACUCAGCAUUUAUCACUUGAUAAAUUUAUCUGAGCUGGGGAAACUAAAGUUGUUUUGUUGGCCUGUUUCUCUUCUUUCCCUAGCUUAUAUUCUUUCUCUUCCUCCAAAUUAUAUUUGAGUAAUAAUACAUUGCUUACUGGGUGGAGUGGAAAGAUAGGAUUUCUUAAGUUCAAUGACUUUUGUUUAUUUUCCUGAUGUAGGGGAUUGAACUCAGGACCUUGUGCAUGCUAGGCAAGCACACCAUUGAGCUAUAUCCCCAGAAUGAUAUGACUAUUAUAGACCACACUUGGCCACCAUCAGCACAGAAUGAUAUAGGACAGGUACAUAGCUUCCAAGAGGGCAACAUGAGGUUCCUUGUGUUUAGGAGUUUUUGCAGCAGUACACACCAGCAGUAAGGCCCAACUGUGCAGCCUGGGUGCAAGGAGACAAGAGCCCAGUGGGAAGAUUCAGGGGUAUCCCUGGCUUAAAAGAUUCAUGCUGCACAGAAACCAGUCUCUCAUCACAACUUGAUAGGCAGUUUCCAAAGUCCGCACAACAGACUAUACCUACAGGUACCACACUUAGGAAAGCCCAAAGCACUAUAUCAGGUAUUUCCAGUUCUACCAGUCCUUAAGCAAUUGUCAAUCAUAGUCAAUAUUGUAUGGUGAUACUAUUCAUAUACCAUAUAUCAGGUUAUCAGGGGAACAGACCUAGAAACUAAACUAAAGGUCAAAUUCUCAUUUCCCUCUCAAGAGAGGGAAAAGAUUUUGUUAAACCUUUGUACAUGUAGCCCUUUAUAUCUGCAUCUGGUUUUCUUCUUCUUUCAUCAAAUAUUUCUUGAGAAUCCACUCAAUGCAAGGCACUGGAGAGAAGUGUAAAAAUCUAGCUGGGAUGUUUUUAAACUAGUAGGUAAGAUUGAUAGGUAUGCAGCUAACUUCAAUAAAAGGACAUGGCUAGUAAAUUCUUGGAGAAAAGUUCCAGGAGGGGCUCUAAGAGCAUUAUGUUUAUCAUGAUGCAGUCUUCCUAUUUAAAUAAUAAUACACAUAGCCAAGAAAUAAGUGAAAAAAUGUUCGACAUUCUUAGGCAUCAAGGUAAUGCAAAUCAAAACUACACUGAGAUUUUAUCUCCAGUAAGAAUGGAAAUCAUCAAGAAUAUAAAUAGUAAUAAAUGCUGGUGAGGAUGUGGGGGAAAAGGAACAUUUAUACACCGUUGUGGAAUUGUGAAUUAGUAUAACACGAUGGAAAUCAGUAUGGUGGUUCCUCAAAAGACUAGGAACAGAAUCACCAUGUGACCCAACUAUACCACUCCCCGUUAUUUAUCCCAAAGAAUUGAAGUCAGCAUAGUAUAGCGAUGUACACAUAACUGUGUUUAUAGCAGCACGAUUCACAAUAGCCAGAUUAUAGAGCCUGUCAACAGAUACUGGAUAAAGAAAAUAUGGUAUAUGUAUGUAAUGGAGUUUUAUUCAGUCAUAAAGAAGAAGGAAAUUAUGUCAUUUGCAGGAAAAUGGUUGGAACUUGAGAUAUUAUGUUAAGUGAAAUCAGUAAAGUCUCAUUAAGUCUUUUCUGUCAUAUGUGGAAGCUAGAGAGAAAAAAGGAAAACAAAGGUUGGAGGAACUCAUGAAAUUAGAAGGGAGAACAGUAGAGUAGAGGAAGGGAACUAGGGGGAAAGAGGAGAAGAGGGAAAGGGGAGGUAUUGGGAAAUGAAACUGACCAAAUUAUAUUGUAUAUGUGUAAUAAUAUGUCAUAGUCAGUCCCACUAUUUGUAUAAUUAUAAUGCACAAUAAAAAAUUAAUUAAAAAAUAAAAACUAGGAUAGUGGCACCUGCCUGUAGUCCCAGCAUCCAGAAAGCUGAGGCAGGAUGGUUGCUUGAUCCCAGGGCUUUGAGGCUAGGCUGGCAACAUAGCAAGACCCUAUCUCAAAACAAACAAACAAACAAACAAACAUUAGUGAUAUACUAAUAUGGUCUUUUGGCUUUAAUGUCUUAGUGUAGAUAAUCAUCCACCUUUUUAGUUAGUUCAUUUGUUUAGUUUGAGACAAGUCUCAAGAAUUAUUUGAUGAAAGAAGAAGAAAACCAGUCUCCAGUCUGGCUCAAGCUUAUGAGCUCAAGUGACCCUCCCGUCUCAGCCUCCUUAAUAGCUAGGACUACAACUGCACACCACCACAUUCAGCUUCAGUCACCUUUUUCUAUCAGAAUGAGGCAUUUCCUUCAUAAUACCUAAGGAAGUCACAAAAUCACUGAAAAUAUACAUUGUGGUUUUGGGCUUAUUGUUGAAAGAGAUGUGUCUUAGAUGCCUCCGUUUAUUUUCAUAGGGCAAAAUUCCACAUGAGGAAGCAAUAUGAGCUGGAAUCCAUGCCCUUGAUUUGGAAAGCUUGCAAAUCAUUAACAACCUUUUAUUUUUCAAAAUAUUUUAGAAAAUUAUAAUCCUCAAUGCUGUGAAGGAAUCUUGAAAUUACAGGGAUAUAUUUAUAGUCUUCAUGGAUAUAUAUAUAUAUAUAUAUAUAUAUAUAUAUAUAUAGAGGAAGAAAACUACAUAUAUAUAUGUAUAUAUAUGUUUUUUUCUCUCUCAUUUUGGUCAAAGUAGUACUUAAAAAAUUUCUGUGGAAUAAUAGACAUUCUAAGUAACAAUUAUAGUUGAGGUUUUGAUAAAAGAUAAAAUGUAUAAAUAUUUGCAAAUACAUUUAAAAUGUACCUUGCCACUUUCAAAAUUUAGAAAAUUAACAAGGGUCCUGAGUAAGAAAAUCUGUUUUACCUACUUGAAUUGUUUAACUAGGUCCGUCUUCUCCAGCAAGUACUUCGGAGUCCUUUCCAGAAGUAUUCUGCCGCUGAGAGAGCAGGCUACGCCUUACCCACUCCUUCUUGGGCUAAAGAUCUCAGAGUCAGUUGCUCAUCUUAAUUUGGGAAAAAUCAAUUAAAAAUACUUCUAUUAUUGAACUUAACAUGGAAUAAUCUAUUUUGUAAAUUCUUAAUUAUCAUCUACAUUUUGAUGACAACCCCAUGUUUAAUAAUAAUGAUUAUAUGCAAAAAUAUUUUUAGCCAAAUAAAUUGGACCUUAUUCUUGAAACAUCUCUGUGAUUAUUUUUGUUCUAAUCAAUAACUUAAUGGAAGAACAAAAUGUUUUUAGCAAAACAAUGAGUUAACCUCAAUGACUAAGAAAUCUUCUGACAGUAUUUUAAUCAAAAUGAUUUGUAGGUAUUCAUCUAGUACUUACAAAAUAUUAUGAAUUUUGGGGUACAUUGAUAAGCAUGUAGUUUAAUUGUACUCCUAGAUGAUUUUUUUCUGUUAUGGAAACAUUUACUGAAGUAGAGAAAAUAUUUUUAUGACUCAAAUUUAUAUUUAACCAUCUUACUAAUUAUAAGUGCAUGGCCAAUCUUCCCUCACCUAUAUAGCCACUGGGUUCAAGAUAUAUAUAAAUAUAUAUAAAUAGCAGAAAGAUCAGUAGAGGAGAGGAAAGGAAACAGGGAGAGGGAGGAGAGGGAAGGGAAGGAUAAGUAUUGGGGACUUAAUUGAACCAAAUUAUAUUCCAUGCAUUUAUAAUUAUGUCAAAAUGAAUCCUAACAUUAUGUAUAACUAAUAUGAAUGAAUACAAAAAUGAAGAAAUUUAAAAGUUUCUAAGGCCCAAUUAUUGAGUUGAAUCAUCUUAAUAUCAUACCAGCCAUUAUUUCUGUGAUCAAAUCAAAUAUGUGAAUCAUAAUAAAGAUCUAAAUGUUCUCCCUUUGAGGAUUUAUGGCAAAAUCUUACUUCAGAUUCUAUCAUAUGGCAGGUUAAAUGUUUCCUAUAAACUGUCAAAUGCUGUAGUUUUAGUUGCAGUUGACCUAUUACAUGGGUCUUUGUCCUGAUGACAUUAUAUAAGAAAUUGUAUAGUUUUUAUGAACCAAGAUAUAGGAUUAUUGUCUUAAUCCUUGCACUCUUUGCCACAUCCCCCAGCUCUGCCCUGGCUUUUGCACUUGCCCUCAUCCAAAGACCUCACUUAGCUUCAUGAAAAAAGAACAAAUUCUGCUUUGUUUCCAGGACCAAUCUAAAUAAUCACACUUAGGCAUAGGAGCUGUCUGUGAAGACCUUCUACUCAGAUACCAAAGACUGUUCUACUGAGUGAAAACUGCAGAGUUCAUGAUCUGGUGCCUGGGUCUGUCAAAAGCAAACUUUUGCCCAGGAUUCACUAACUAAAAGCAGCACAGAUUUCUAAGACUUCUGACCAUAAAUACAUGGUCAACUCUAUGUCAAUAUUUUGACUACAAAACUAAUUCUCUUCAGUAUCUUGCCUAAAAUACACAUUAUCAAAUGUUAAAAUUCAUGAACAGUGUAGUUUUAAUUUUUAGUUUUCCCCACUAUAAGGAUAUAUGGUAUAGAUGGAAGUUACUGGGAUGUGAUCCAUCUCCGUGGCCUGAUUCCUUUCAGAAGUGACACUUCUGGGGUCUUCAAUGAAGCCCAUUAAACCAAAUCCCUCUCUUCUACUCUCCCACGUCUCCACUGCCUACUCUCUGGACCCUUCCUGAUCCACAGUGAUGCUAAAGAUGGUGUGACAAGGAAAUGGCCUUUCCUUACCUUGACCGAUGCUGUACUUUUUCAGAGAAAUUUUCCAGUUAGGAUGAAAGAUAGCCAGGCUGUCCCGGCCUCUUUAGACAGAGUUGACAGAAAUUUGGGAAUUGCAGAGUGACUUUCCUCCAUCAUAGGGACUGAAAAGUACAGUGACAAUGCAGAGGGUAACAAUGUUUGCAAAGAGGGUAACAAUGAGGUAAAAGUAUAGAGAAGAAAAUUGAGAAAUGAACUGUAUUUCCAGGAACCUCUUCUAGGACCUGGCUGAGAGUCUAGGCAAAUGCUUGGUGUUACUGGGACUGUGCCUCUGAUCCACAGAAUAAAUGCCACCUUUUACUUGAGCUUUUCCAAUUGGUUUUAUUACUUAAAGUCAUAGUCAUCAUUGAUGGAAUGGGCUCAAUUAUAUUUUCAGGGUGCCUUCAUCCGUAAGAUUCUGUGGCUGUCAGAUGGAAAGACACUUUUCCUUCCUUCUGCAGAUAUGACCAUGAACUACCUUUGAGGGUUUUAGACUGAAAUAAACUCAGUCAAGCACUACUCUUUUGCUUAUAAUCGUCCUAAAUUCUAAGUUAUUCUCAAAGAUGAAUACAUUUUCUGAUCUGUAAACCAGGUGGUAAUUUUGACUCAGAUAAGUAAAUCCAGAUUAUAAUCCUUUUGAAGAUCUUUUGUCCUGAGCCACCGGGUGACUGACCUGGACAACUGUGUGUUUUAAUAGAUAUUUAUAUCUCUUUGUUGAACUUUAAAUCUCCAAAUCAGUCUGUGAUCAAAUUGUGC